GUUGAGGCAGCAGAGACGGUGAACGUCGACGGAGAUGUAGGGGACGAGCCCGCGGCAGCCGUAGCCGGAGUGGGCCUUGUAAGGGCAGGGGACGCACAGCGCUCGCAUCAGCCCGUCCAGGUCGUCGCCGGAGCACCGCGUGUACGAGGCGGCGGCGCCAUUGUUGUUGCCGCACGCCCGGCACGGGUUGCUGCCGCGGCAGGCGGAGCACACCUUGUGCCCGGCUGCCUCGCACUGCAUUGAGAUC
rnacentral:lncRNA from 1 species